UUAUAUGAUGAACACGUUUAUUCACACUGUUUGAUCUGGGCGCUCGCGCGUUCUGGAAAUGAACAUCAUACACAAAAAAUCUGAUUUAAUGAGGUUGGUA
rnacentral:snoRNA from 1 species